UUAGUUGCGCGGACGGGUGAGUAACGCGUAGGAAUUUAUCCUGAGAUGGUGGAUAACCCUGGGAAACUGGGGCUAAUACAGCAUAAUGACUGAGGUCCAAAGCUUUAGGGCGUCUUGGGAGAAGCCUGCGUUUGAUUAGCUAGUUGGUGGGGUAAGAGCCUACCAAGGCGAUGAUCAAUAGCUGGUUUGAGAGGAUGAUCAGCCACACUGGGACUGAGACACGGCCCAGACUCCUACGGGAGGCAGCAGUGGGGAAUAUUGGACAAUGGGGGCAACCCUGAUCCAGCAAUGCCGCGUGCGUGAAGAAGGUCUUCGGAUUGUAAAGCGCUUUCAUUAGGGACGAUGAUGACGGUACCUAAGAAGAACCCCCGGCUAACUUCGUGCCAGCAGCCGCGGUAAUACGAAGGGGGCUAGCGUUGCUCGGAAUGACUGGGCCUAAAGGGC
rnacentral:rRNA from 1 species